rnacentral:rRNA from 1 species
GUGAACGCUGGCGGUAGGCCUAACACAUGCAAGUCGAACGGCAGCACAGUAAGAGCUUGCUCUUACGGGUGGCGAGUGGCGGACGGGUGAGGAAUACAUCGGAAUCUACUUUUUCGUGGGGGAUAACGUAGGGAAACUUACGCUAAUACCGCAUACGACCUACGGGUGAAAGCAGGGGAUCUUCGGACCUUGCGCGAUUGAAUGAGCCGAUGUCGGAUUAGCUAGUUGGCGGGGUAAAGGCCCACCAAGGCGACGAUCCGUAGCUGGUCUGAGAGGAUGAUCAGCCACACUGGAACUGAGACACGGUCCAGACUCCUACGGGAGGCAGCAGUGGGGAAUAUUGGACAAUGGGCGCAAGCCUGAUUCAGCCAUACCGCGUGGGUGAAGAAGGCCUUCGGGUUGUAAAGCCCUUUUGUUGGGAAAGAAAAGCAGCAGGUUAAUACCCCGCUGUUCUGACGGUACCCAAAGAAUAAGCACCGGCUAACUUCGUG